CAGUUCUGAAAGUAAGAACUAAAAGGUUGAAUGUGCCUGGCUCUUUCUCUUCCAGAAACUGUUGGAGACAAGCUCACAACUGUGUCUAAACUAAUAUCCAAGUGAAGUGGAUGCAAGGAUUUGAGAAGAGUCCUGACCUCACAGCAGCUGGACCAUGAUGCCAGCACUGCUGGCAUUGGGGUGACAAAACAUUUUCUCAGUAACUGGUAUAAGCAAGAUCUAUCCUGUGCUCUUCUCCAGCAUUCUGUUCCCAACUGAGUGUCUUAUCUGACUAGGAAGUAAGCAGUCUCUCAAGAUUUUGCAAACUUAUGAAAAUAAUGAGUUUUCAAAGAAGAUGCUGUGAGCUGAUGUCCCAAUUCUCCUGCAGCCAAUACAAAUUCUGGGCCAGUGAGUAAAAAAAAAGUGAAUAAAUGCAUUCCCUCUGCAAGUCUAAGAGUCUGUGAAGCCAGAGGUCCUACUGAUACCUCAGUCCUUGAAGAUAAAUGCUUUGGUUUAAAAUGUUUGAUUAUUGAGGAUACUUUGGAGAACCUGAAGAAUGAAUGUGGGCACCUUCCAUACCAAGGGAUUAAGUGAUGGACCUUACUGAGUCG
rnacentral:lncRNA from 1 species